rnacentral:rRNA from 1 species
AGGAUGAACGCUGGCGGCGUGCUUAACACAUGCAAGUCGAACGAUGAAGGCUGGAGCUUGCUCUGGCUGGAUUAGUGGCGAACGGGUGAGUAACACGUGAGUAACCUGCCCCAGACUCUGGGAUAAGCGCUGGAAACGGCGUCUAAUACCGGAUACGAGCUUCCACCGCAUGGUGAGGAGCUGGAAAGAAUUUCGGUCUGGGAUGGACUCGCGGCCUAUCAGCUUGUUGGUGAGUAAUGGCUCACCAAGGCGACGACGGGUACGCCGGGCCUGGAGAGGGUCGACCGGCCACGACGUGGGACUGAGACACGGCCAGACUCCACGGGAGGCAGCGAGUGGGGAAUAGUUGCACAAGUGGGCG